rnacentral:rRNA from 1 species
CCUACGGGGGCUGCAGUGGGGAAUAUUGGACAAUGGGGGCAACCCUGAUCCAGCCAUGCCGCGUGUGUGAAGAAGGCCCUCGGGUUGUAAAGCACUUUCAGUGAGGAAGAACGCCUGGUGGUUAAUACCCAUCAGGAAAGACAUCACUCACAGAAGAAGCACCGGCUAACUCCGUGCCAGCAGCCGCGGUAAUACGGAGGGUGCGAGCGUUAAUCGGAAUUACUGGGCGUAAAGCGCGCGUAGGUGGCUUGAUAAGCCGGUUGUGAAAGCCCCGGGCUCAACCUGGGAACGGCAUCCGGAACUGUCAAGCUAGAGUGCAGGAGAGGAAGGUAGAAUUCCCGGUGUAGCGGUGAAAUGCGUAGAGAUCGGGAGGAAUACCAGUGGCGAAGGCGGCCUUCUGGACUGACACUGACACUGAGGUGCGAAAGCGUGGGUAGCAAACAGGAUUAGAUACCUGAGUAGUC